UUGGUGGCCAUUUCAUAGU
rnacentral:misc_RNA from 1 species